GCGAACGAACAGGGAUAAGCUCAGGUUGGAAACCAGGGCCCUGGUCCUGGGUUGUAGCCUGCAGACGUAGCGCUAUCGGCGGCUUGAGCGAAAGCCUCUUGGAACAGAGCGUGUGCCCAGGUGAGAAUCCUGUGUUUCGCUUGAAGUCCGCCGUGUACGGUGCUCGCUCUCAAAGUCACGCUCCUCGGAAUUGGAGCGUAAAUCAGGUGGUAGAUUUCAUCUAAAGCCAAAUACAGACCUGAGACCGAUAGUGAACAAGUACAUGAGGGAAAGAUGAAAAGGACUUUGGAAAGAGAGUUAAAAGUGCUUGAAAUCGCUGAAAGGGAAGCGAAUGGAACCACAUGCUUGCUGAGAUUGCUGCCAAUGCUUGUGAGCCCUGGUCAUUAAAGCGCAAGCUUCUUGUCUAGGAGUGAGUUGGCAUUU
rnacentral:rRNA from 1 species